CGGGGUGUAGGGCAGAUGGUCAGCCCGCCUGAUUUGGGUUCAGGAAGCCGCAGGUUCGAAUCCUGCCACCCCGACCG
rnacentral:tRNA from 1 species